GGUGCCAGCAGCCGCGGUAAUUCCAGCUGAAAAAGCGUAUACGAAUAUUGUUGCAGUUAAAACGCUCGUAGUUGGAAUAAAACAUGGUUUUCUAUUUUUUUUAUUUUAAAACGGUAAAAAAGUAUAGAAUAUCAUUUUUUAAUUUUAUAUAUAAAAAGUAAUUUUUAUAUAUAUAAUUUACUUUGAAUAAAUUAGAGUGCUUUAAGCAGAUUGAGAUUUAAAUUUUAAAUCUUUUUGAUGUUUGAAUAAUUUAGCAUAGAAUAAAAUAAUAAGAUUUGAAAGAUAAGAUUUGGUAAUUAUGUAGCAAAUAAUGAUAAAUAGGAAUAGUUGGGGGUAUUUGUAUUGAAUAGUCAGAGGUGAAAUUCAAGGAUUUGUUCAAGACAAACAUCAGCGAAAGCAUUUACCAAAGAUAUUUCCAUUAAUCAAGAACGAAAGUUAGGGGAUCGAAGAUGAUCAGAUACCGUCGUAGUCCUAACCAUAAAACAAUACCAACCAAAAGAUAAGAGGUUGUAAAAAACAAGAAAAAGGGAAUUUCUUUUUUUACUGAACCAACUCCUUUUGAAUUUUAGA
rnacentral:rRNA from 1 species